rnacentral:rRNA from 1 species
GUGCUGGCGGAGCUACCAUGCAGUCGAGCGGUAACAGAUCCAGCUUGCUGGAUGCUGACGAGCGGCGGACGGGUGAGUAAUGCAUAGGAAUCUGCCCGAUAGUGGGGGAUAACCUGGGGAAACCCAGGCUAAUACCGCAUACGUCCUACGGGAGAAAGGGGGCUUCGGCUCCCGCUAUCGGAUGAGCCUAUGUCGGAUUAGCUAGUUGGUGAGGUAACGGCUCACCAAGGCGACGAUCCGUAGCUGGUCUGAGAGGAUGAUCAGCCACAUCGGGACUGAGACACGGCCCGAACUCCUACGGGAGGCAGCAGUGGGGAAUAUUGGACAAUGGGGGGAACCCUGAUCCAGCCAUGCCGCGUGUGUGAAGAAGGCCCUCGGGUUGUAAAGCACUUUCAGCGAGGAAGAACGCCUAGCGGUUAAUACCCGCUAGGAAAGACAUCACUCGCAGAAGAAGCACCGGCUAACUCCGUGCCAGCAGCCGCGGUAAUACGGAGGGUGCAAGCGUUAAUCGGAAUUACUGGGCGUAAAGCGCGCGUAGGUGGCUUGAUAAGCCGGUUGUGAAAGCCCCGGGCUCAACCUGGGAACGGCAUCCGGAACUGUCAAGCUAGAGUGCAGGAGAGGAAGGUAGAAUUCCCGGUGUAGCGGUGAAAUGCGUAGAGAUCGGGAGGAAUACCAGUGGCGAAGGCGGCCUUCUGGACUGACACUGACACUGAGGUGCGAAAGCGUGGGUAGCAAACAGGAUUAGAUACCCUUGGUAGUC